GGGGCCGUAGGGUAGCCUGGAAUCCUAGGAGACUGGGGGUCUUCUGACUCGCGUUCAAAUCGCGGCGGCCUCA
rnacentral:tRNA from 1 species